UACGUAGGGGGCUAGCGUUGUCCGGAAUCAUUGGGCGUAAAGCGCGUGUAGGCGGUCCGGUAAGUCCGCUGUGAAAGUCGGGGGCUCAACCCUCGAAAGCCGGUGGAUACUGUCGGGCUCGAGUACGGAAGAGGCGAGUGGAAUUCCUGGUGUAGCGGUGAAAUGCGCAGAUAUCAGGAGGAACACCAAUUGCGAAGGCAGCUCGCUGGGACGUUACUGACGCCUCAGGCACGAAAGCGUGGGGAGCAAACAGG
rnacentral:rRNA from 1 species